rnacentral:rRNA from 1 species
GACAUCCAGCGAACUUGGCAGAGAUGCCUUGGUGCCUUCGGGAACGCUGAGACAGGUGCUGCAUGGCUGUCGUCAGCUCGUGUUGUGAAAUGUUGGGUUAAGUCCCGCAACGAGCGCAACCCUUAUCCUUUGUUGCCAGCGAUCGGUUGGGAACUCAAAGGAGACUGCCGGUGAUAAACCGGAGGAAGGUGGGGACGACGUCAAGUCAUCAUGGCCCUUACGAGUAGGGCUACACACGUGCUACAAUGGCGCAUACAAAGAGAAGCGACCUCGCGAGAGCAAGCGGACCUCAUAAAGUGCGUCGUAGUCCGGAUCGGAGUCUGCAACUCGACUCCGUGAAGUCGGAAUCGCUAGUAAUCGUGGAUCAGAAUGCCACGGUGAAUACGUUCCCGGGCCUUGUACACACCGCCCGUCACACCAUGGGAGUGGGUUGCAAAAAAAGUAGGUAGCUUAACCUUCGGGAGGGCGCUUACCACUUUGUGAUUCAUGACUGGGGUGAAGUCGUAACAAGGUAAGCGUAGCGAG